CCUACGGGAGGCAGCAGUGAGGAAUAUUGGUCAAUGGGCGGGAGCCUGAACCAGCCAAGUCGCGUGAGGGAAGACGGUCCUAUGGAUUGUAAACCUCUUUAGGCGGGGAGCAAUGCCGGGCACGCGUGCCCGGAGGGAGAGUACCCGCAGAAUAAGCAUCGGCUAACUCCGUGCCAGCAGCCGCGGUAAUACGGAGGCUGCGAGCGUUAUCCGGAUUGAUUGGGUUUAAAGGGUGCGUAGGCGGAUUUUUAAGUCAGCGGUAAAAUGUCCGGGCUCAACCCGGGCCGGCCGUUGAAACUGGGGAUCUUGAGUGGGCGAGAAGUAUGCGGAAUGCGUGGUGUAGCGGUGAAAUGCAUAGAUAUCACGCAGAACUCCGAUUGCGAAGGCAGCAUACCGGCGCCCGACUGACGCUGAGGCACGAAAGCGUGGGGAUCGAACAGGAUUAGAUACCCGAGUAGUC
rnacentral:rRNA from 1 species